rnacentral:rRNA from 1 species
UACGAAGGGGGCUAGCGUUGCUCGGAAUCACUGGGCGUAAAGCGCACGUAGGCGGAUUUUUAAGUCAGGGGUGAAAUCCUGGAGCUCAACUCCAGAACUGCCUUUGAUACUGAGGAUCUUGAGUUCGGGAGAGGUGAGUGGAACUGCGAGUGUAGAGGUGAAAUUCGUAGAUAUUCGCAAGAACACCAGUGGCGAAGGCGGCUCACUGGCCCGAUACUGACGCUGAGGCACGAAAGCGUGGGGAGCAAACAGG